CGUACACAGAUAUUGAAUCAGCAUGUUGUACACCUGAAACUAAUAGAAUAUUGUAUGUCAAUUAGGCCUUAACAUUUUCGGAAAAAAGAAAAAAGAAGCAUACCUACAUUGCAAUAUUGUGAGGAUGAAAGUAAAUGAUGUGGGGUCUGAAAGCCCCCUCUGUCCAUCAGCCAUCCCUUUCAUUUAGCAGUUUGGAUGCACAGCUAAGGAAGCAAACAGCUUACGGAAUCCCAGACAGCAUCCUCUCCGGCUCAGAGCAGGUGCUUUCAUUGCUUUUAUACCUCUCCUACGGGUGAGUUCUUCCAGCUUCAGAAGAGGUGGUAAUGCGCAUCGCUUUCAUCAAUACCAGCUUCAAUCCAAGGAAUGUCGCUCCUAAAAUAGCAGUGAACAUAAACCAUCUGCAUUUAAGUACUUGACAUUUUGGUAAAAUAUGACAGCUA
rnacentral:lncRNA from 1 species